CACGUAGGGUGCGAGCGUUGUCCGGAAUUAUUGGGCGUAAAGAGCUCGUAGGCGGUGUGUCGCGUCGACCGUGAAAACCUGCAGCUUAACUGUGGGCUUGCGGUCGAUACGGGCAUCACUGGAGUUCGGCAGGGGAGACUGGAAUUCCUGGUGUAGCGGUGGAAUGCGCAGAUAUCAGGAGGAAUACCCAUAGCGAAGGCAGCUCGCUGGGACAGUACUGACGCUGAGGCGCGAAAGCGUGGGGAGCGAACAGG
rnacentral:rRNA from 1 species